GAUGAACGCUGGCGGCGUGCUUAACACAUGCAAGUCGAACGAAGCAUUUUAAACAGAUUAUUCGGUAUGAAGUUUUUAAUGACUGAGUGGCGGACGGGUGAGUAACGCGUGAGUAACCUGCCCUGGANAGGGGGACAACAGUUGGAAACGACUGCUAAUACCGCAUAAGCCCACGGAACCGCAUGGUUCUGAGGGAAAAGGAUUUAUUCGCUUCAGGAUGGACUCGCGUCCAAUUAGCUAGUUGGUGAGGUAACGGCCCACCAAGGCGACGAUUGGUAGCCGGACUGAGAGGUUGAACGGCCACAUUGGGACUGAGACACGGCCCAGACUCCUACGGGAGGCAGCAGUGGGGGAUAUUGCACAAUGGGGGAAACCCUGAUGCAGCGACGCCGCGUGGAGGAAGAAGGUUUUCGGAUUGUAAACUCCUGUCGUUAGGGACGAUAAUGACGGUACCUAACAAGAAAGCACCGGCUAACUACGUG
rnacentral:rRNA from 1 species